rnacentral:rRNA from 1 species
CGGCGAGUGAAGCGGCAAUAGCUCAAAUUUGAAAGCUGGCGUCUUCGACUUCCGCGUUGUAAUUUGUAGAGGAUGCUUCGGCGAAGACUCCUGCCUAAGUCCCCUGGAACGGGGCGUCAUAGAGGGUGAGAAUCCCGUAUGUGGCGGGCAGUCUAAGCCAUGUGAAGCUCCUUCGACGAGUCGAGUUGUUUGGGAAUGCAGCUCUAAAUGGGAGGUAAAUUUCUUCUAAAGCUAAAUAUUGGCCAGAGACCGAUAGCGCACAAGUAGAGUGAUCGAAAGAUGAAAAGCACUUUGGAAAGAGAGUUAAAAAGUACGUGAAAUUGUUGAAAGGGAAGCGCUUGCAACCAGACUCGCUCGUAGUUGCUCAGCCGGCCUCUUGGCCGGUGUACUCUUCUACGAUCGGGCCAGCAUCAGUUCGGGCGGCAGGAUAAAGGUGUCGGGAAUGUAGCACCCUUCGGGGUGUGUUAUAGCCCGGCGCGGAAUGCUGCCAGCCUGGACUGAGGAUCUCGCUUCGGCAAGGAUGCUGGCGUAAUGGUUGUAAGCGGCCCGUCUUGAAACACGGACCAAGGAGUCUAACAUCUAUGCGAGUGUUUGGGUGUCAAACCCAUGCGCGUAAUGAAAGUGAACGGAGGUGGGAACCCCUCACGGGGUGCACCAUCGACCGAUCCUGAUGUCUUCGGAUGGAUUUGAGUAAGAGCAUAGCUGUUGGGACCCGAAAGAUGGUGAACUAUGCCUGAAUAGGGUGAAGCCAGAGGAAACUCUG